AGAAAGUGGGGGAUCUUCGGACCUCACGCUAUCAGAUGAGCCUAAGUCGGAUUCACUAGUUGGUGGGGUAAAGGCCUACCAAGGCGACGAUCCGUAACUGGUCUGAGAGGAUGAUCAGUCACACUGGAACUGAGACACGGUCCAGACUCCUACGGGAGGCAGCGGUGGGGAAUAUUGGACAAUGGGCGAAAGCCUGAUCCAGCCAUGCCGCGUGUGUGAAGAAGGUCUUCGGAUUGUAAAGCACUUUAAGUUGGGAGGAAGGGCAGUAAGUUAAUACCUUGCUGUUUUGACGUUACCAACAGAAUAAGCACCGGCUAACUUCGUGCCAGCAGCCGCGGUAAUACGAAGGGUGCAAGCGUUAAUCGGAAUUACUGGGCGUAAAGCGCGCGUAGGUGGUUCAGCAAGUUGGAUGUGAAAUCCCCGGGCUCAACCUGGGAACUGCAUCCAAAACUACUGAGCUAGAGUACGGUAGAGGGUGGUGGAAUUUCCUGUGUAGCGGUGAAAUGCGUAGAUAUAGGAAGGAACACCAGUGGCGAAGGCGACCACCUGGACUGAUACUGACACUGAGGUGCGAAAGCGUGGGGAGCAAACAGG
rnacentral:rRNA from 1 species